UACGUGAGGGUGCAAGCGUUAAUUCGGAAUUACUGGGCGUAAAGGCGUGCGCGGCGGUUAUGUAAGCAGAUGUGAAAUGCCCGGUCUUAACCUGGGAACUGCAUUUGUGACUGCAUGGACUAGAGUUGGCAGAGGGGGGGAUAGAAUUCGACGUGAUGAGCAGUGAAAUGACGUAGAUAUGUGGAGGAACACCGAUGGCGAAGGC
rnacentral:rRNA from 1 species